rnacentral:lncRNA from 1 species
UUGGUUUGAGUCUAAUUGGAUUAGAUUUAAUAAAUUAUUCAAUCUAGACCGUUAGAUCUUGAUCUACCGUUGGAUGAAGACAUAAUGGAGAGUUGGUUUAACCCAAUUGGAUUGAGUUAGAGGAUGGCUACCAUAAUUGACCAUUGGAUCUUAAUCCCACCAUUGGAUGAAGACAUAAUGGGUCAAGUGAAUGGCGCCUUGCAUUGGAGCCCUUGGAUCAUCAUCAUGAAAGAUCAAGAGGUGAGGCGUCAUGGACAUGUGAUUAGCAUGUGAUGUUGACUUGGUCAAAAUAUGGCACCACAUGAAAGGACAUAUCAUUUGAUACACCUCCUCACUUGAUCUGCACCUCCUCCUAUUUGAUAUGGCCCUUUAGAUGAUGCCCUUUCAUGAGAGGAUGUGUGGAUGGGAUGCAUCUCUUGGAGAUGCAUCCCUACACCUAUUAUAAAUAGGCUAGCACUCCAUGGGUUUCAUCAUUCCAACUCCACCCCACUCCUCUCUUCUU